rnacentral:rRNA from 1 species
CCUACGGGUGGCAGCAGUGGGGAAUAUUGGACAAUGGGGGGAACCCUGAUCCAGCCAUGCCGCGUGUGUGAAGAAGGCCCUCGGGUUGUAAAGCACUUUCAGUGAGGAAGAACGCCUGGUGGUUAAUACCCAUCAGGAAAGACAUCACUCACAGAAGAAGCACCGGCUAACUCCGUGCCAGCAGCCGCAGGUAAUACGGAGGGUGCGAGCGUUAAUCGGAAUUACUGGGCGUAAAGCGCGCGUAGGUGGCUUGAUAAGCCGGUUGUGAAAGCCCCGGGCUCAACCUGGGAACGGCAUCCGGAACUGUCAAGCUAGAGUGCAGGAGAGGAAGGUAGAAUUCCCGGUGUAGCGGUGAAAUGCGUAGAGAUCGGGAGGAAUACCAGUGGCGAAGGCGGCCUUCUGGACUGACACUGACACUGAGGUGCGAAAGCGUGGGUAGCAAACAGGAUUAGAUACCCUUGUAGUC